UACUGACCCAGAUAAUCAUCACAAAAACUUAAUGCAUGCUCAAUUGCUGUAAAUGAGCUAGCUUGCUCUAACUGUUGCUCUGGUCUUCGUCAACAACACGCGCUUUUGCACCUCCUGCUGGUGAGGUCGACUAACAGCAGAUGGAAAGUAUGCUCUGUAAUCUACUGCUAUUCCUGCAGUUCCUGGAUGUCAACGUUGAAUUUACUGUUGAAUUUGAACCACUGAAUUUGUGGAAGCGAAUUUGCAAAGUGAAAUAAAAUGGACCAAAAAUUG